AUUCCAUGUUGAGGGCACUUCCUCAACAAUUCCUUGUACCUUUCCCAUGACACAUACAAAGUUUUAGACUCCAUCUGUCGAAAAUAAGAUAUGUCAUUCCUAAGCUU